AUCUUUUCACCUUUGUGGUAUCGAGGUAAGUUCGUAUGUAAACAAUACCAUGAUAUACAUGUAUUUAAAUGUUAUCAUUACAUGAAUUGUACAGAUAUUAAUGUGUAUGUGAUUAAUAGAAAUAUGAUAAGACAAAGCCUUAAUAGGCAAGGAAAAAUCCCGUUUGAACCUUAGGAAUAAAUUAGGAUACGAGUGACAUGUCACUAGGAAUUAUGAGUCUAGAUGACUAGCUCGAUAGUGAGCAUUGAAAUGUCAUGAGAUAUGAGAUAGCUUUAGCUACAAUUGAGGCACUUAUGUGCAAAGGCUUUUCCGAGUAUCCAAUUAGUAUUCCAAGUGUUCAACGGGCAAUCCAAGGAAAGAGUUGAUGAUGGUCCCAAUGAGGUAAGUCAUUGGUGAGUAUGCACUCGAGUUAUGUUACGAGUUGUGCAAGUAUGUAUACUAAGCCUAUGAGAAUGCCUUGAUAUGUGAUGAUCUAUGAUGCAUAAUAUGUGUUCUUACCAUGAUGGAUAAAAUGGUGUUGUAUUAAUAUUAUGAACAAUGACCAUGAAUGAGUAACUUAGCCUUGACAGAUUUGAGUUACUGCAGUAGUGUAACUUUGAAAAUACACUAAAAAUAGUAGAAAAUGAAUUAGAGGCAGAAUAAAAAAUGGGAUUAAAGCUUAAUGAGUCUAUUUUCACAUGAAAGAAAAUAGAGGAAGAAAAAGAAUUCUAUAUUGUGUGAUAUUUAAAUUCUCGUGAAACAGGGUUUGAAUGAAUUCGAGAUCCCCUGUUCUGAUUUUAUAAAUUCACCGUAAAUUGUACAAAAAUUAUUAAGAGUCAUACCUUACAUGAAUAGAUUCCUUAUUGAGUCUAUCUUUAAGGGAAACAAACGGCAUGAUCAUUGGAAUUAUGUACAGGGAGAAAUUCGGUUCGUAGUGCAUAGGGGUCAGAGUAGUCAUACCCUGAAACAGGGGAAACUUUAACUAAUAAACUGUACUAAAUGGCUUGACCAAAACUUCUAGAAAAAAAUUAGUAAGUAGACAUAUGAGUCUAGUUUAAAGAGAAAUAGACGAGAACAUUAUUCGAGUCCUGUUGAACUUUAGUGCAGAAGAGUUGAAACUAUCAUACAGUGAAUCAGGAGCAAACUUGAGGAAUAAACUGUACUAAUUGGCUUAGUCAAAAAUUCUGGAAAUUUUAUCGAAGAAAGAUAAAUGAGUCUAGUUUCAGGGAAAAUUAACAGAACUUAAUUUGGAGUUUCGUAGCUCCAGAUAUAAAUAAUUUAGUGACUGCUGCUCAGGAAGACAGCUUGUAGUGAACUUGAGAAUAUGUUGUAAACAUUGAUAAAACAAGUUAAUGAGUUGCUUAUUGUUUUCAUAUGAACUUACUAAGCGAAAGCUUACCCUCUUCUUUCCCAUGUUUUCUAGAGUUUCCAGGUUAGCUCGGGUUGGAGGCCGUCAGAGAUAUUAUCACACUGUCGAGUUAACGCUAUCGGCGUAAGUAAACUCAAGUGAUUCUAGUCUAUGGCAUGUAUAGGGUUUUAAUGUGAGUAUGUAAUAUUAUAAUUUAGCCAAAGGCAUUGGCUUGUUAUUAAGGUAGUAUUGUAAUAUUAUGAUUUAGCCAAAGGCAUUGGCUUGUUAUUAAGGAAGUAUUAGUCAUGUAAAUUGGCCUAUGUCGGCUAAUAUCGUUAUGGGCCCAUAUGAUUAUUCUUAUGCAUGUAUGUUAUUAUCUCUUGUGAUGUGGCUUACAACAUGUAUGCCUAGAGAUUGAAUUGAG
rnacentral:lncRNA from 1 species